GAUGAACGCUGGCGGCGUGCUUAACACAUGCAAGUCGAGCGAGAAGUUUUGAACAGAUUCUUCGGAUGAAAUUUAAAAUGGAAAGCGGCGGACGGGUGAGUAACGCGUAGGCAACCUGCCCCAUACAAAGGGAUAGCAUUUGGAAACGAAUAUUAAUACCUUAUGAAACUUAACUAGUGCAUGCUAGGUAGGUCAAAGAUUUAUCGGUAUGGGAUGGGCCUGCGUCUGAUUAGCUAGUUGGUGAGGUAACGGCUCACCAAGGCGACGAUCAGUAGCCGACCUGAGAGGGUGAACGGCCACAUUGGAACUGAGACACGGUCCAAACUCCUACGGGAGGCAGCAGUGGGGAAUAUUGCACAAUGGGGGAAACCCUGAUGCAGCAACGCCGCGUGAACGAUGAAGGCCCUUGGGUCGUAAAGUUCUGUUCUAGGUGAUGAAAACUGACAGUAACCUAGGAGAAAGCCCCGGCUAACUCCGUG
rnacentral:rRNA from 1 species